GACGAACCGUCCAAACGUUGUUCGGAAUCACUGGGCUUAAAGGGCGCGUAGGCGGACGUUCAGGUCCGGGGUGAAAUCCUCCGGCUUAACCGGAGAACAGCCCUGGAAACCGGACGUCUCGAGGGAGGUAGGGUCGAUGGAACUUCCGGUGGAGCGGUGAAAUGCGUAGAUAAUCGGAAGGAACGCCGGUGGCGAAAGCGAUCGACUGGACCUCUUACUGACGCUGAGGCGCGAAAGCCAGGGGAGCGAACGGG
rnacentral:rRNA from 1 species